CAAACGUCUGUCAGACGAGUUUGAGUUAACAUCUGGAUAUUUUCUUUCUUCUCUGUCAAAGAGAUUUUAGUAAGGAGUUGGUUCGUGCUAUAUUUAUAUAUGUAUGCAAGAAAAAAUUAAGGAUUUGAAUAUAAUAAUGAUUUAUCAUGGAUUCGCAAUGCUACUCCUAAUCAGCGUCUCUUAUCAACGUCAAUUUGAUAAUGUGCCAACCGGAGAUCCACCGAAAUUGAAGCCUGGUUCAAAAAGAAUAUAUCAAUUUCGACCUGGGGAGAAUUUAAAAUUGAUUUGCCCAAUCGAAAAUGUCAAAGGUCAAUCGAAAGGAGGUUUCCUUUGGAAAUAUCGCGAUAAAACUCAAUUAGUAGAUAUUGAGAGCUAUGAUGAAACAAUAAAAGUAAAAGGACCGAAAUUAAUUAUUAAAAAUGCAACUGAAAGUGAAGAAGGGGAAUAUCAGUGCGAAGGGAUUAACGGAUUCGGAAAGGCCGUUUUCCGCCUAUAUGUUUUUAUAACAAAUGGCACGAAUAAGAAAAAGGAUGUUUUUUCUCCGAAGUUUAUACAAAAGAGGCCAGAAUUAGACAGAAUCGUUAAAAAAGGUCAAGAUGUAAAAUUUUUUUGCGGUUAUAAGAGUAAUCCACCACCAACACUGGAAUGGUAUCACAACGACACGCGUUUACUCGAAAAGCGUGAUAAGAAAUUCUUAACGAUAGAAAGCGUUGAUUAUGAGGAUAGCGGGAGUUAUCGAUGCGAAGUUGGCAACGUUCUUGGUGUUGUAAAGAGAGUUUGGAGUUUAAAAAUAGGAAGAAAAGAACAUACCAACCUCAUAAGAAACGAGUUUAAAUACGAAAAUUCUAAAAGAAGCCUUAUUGUUAAUCGGUUUCAAGAUGCAAGACUCAACUGCAAAAUUCGAUUAAGAAAUUCAGCAAACGACGAUAAGAAAGUUAUAAUUAGGUGGGCAAAAGUUGAUACGAAAGAGAAAAUAACGUUAAAUUCAUCCGUUCUGACUAUGAGAGACAUGGAUUUUCAUUAUAUUAAUCACACCAGUGUUGAAGAUAAUAACGGCAUUUAUAAAAGUGUGCUUAAUAUUCGAGCAGUUGACUAUAAAAGUUCAGGAUAUUAUGCUUGCUUCAUCGUCUAUGGUACUCUGAUGGAAGCUGAACUUUUUCAAGUAAAAAUCGGCGACGUUAUAGAAGAUAGUUCUACUCAAACAAUUUUAAUAGCAAGCGUAUCGGGAGGAUUACUUUUUUUACUUGUGCUCGUUCUCGUUUGCGUAUUUAGUAGGCAUAGGAAGAAUUCAAAUUCUUCAACAAAUCGAAGUACUAAAAGCUCAUCGAGCAACUCAAGUUGUGUAUAUAAAAAAUGUACUCCACAGCCUCAUAACCAGAAGAUUAUGAUGAAUUAUUACGGGCAGCAAUGUGCUCCCGUUCCACAAACUGAUUUUGGAGUAAUCUCUCAUCAUACAAUAAGCAGCAAUGAUGAAUCUUCACAUUCUAAGGAUAUAAUGGUCGGUUAUGGGGGACAAUGCCAGUUUAUUCCGCCCGCUUCAACAAAUAACGCGCAGUUCGUGUGAUAAACUCACUAACUCUUUCUCCCUUCCCCUCUCUCUCUCUCUCUCUCUCUCUCUCUCUACCUUUCUCUCUCUCUCUCUCUCUCUCUCUCCCUCUCUCCCUCUCUCCCUCUCUCUCUUUCAAACUGUCAACCUCCAUCUCUACCUUCCUUUUCAAUUUAUUACAGGGUACAUUUGGUACAUGUUUUCGAUACAGGGUAAAAAACAAACUACAAACUUUAGACUUUUUAUGUUGUUUAUGCUUAAAGUCUUUUUUUUUUUGUUGAUACUUUUUUGCAAUAUGCAAAAUAAUAAUAAAUGCUUGAAAACCAUA
rnacentral:misc_RNA from 1 species